ACCCGCUGAACUUAAGCAUAUCAAUAAGCGGAGGAAAAGAAACCAACAGGGAUUGCUCUAGUAACGGCGAGUGAAGCAGCAAUAGCUCAAAUUUGAAAUCUGGCGUCUUCGACGUCCGAGUUGUAAUUUGUAGAGGAUGCUUCUGAGUGGCCACCGACCUAAGUUCCUUGGAACAGGACGUCAUAGAGGGUGAGAAUCCCGUAUGCGGUCGGAAAGGCGCUCUAUACGUAGCUCCUUCGACGAGUCGAGUUGUUUGGGAAUGCAGCUCUAAAUGGGAGGUAAAUUUCUUCUAAAGCUAAAUAUUGGCCAGAGACCGAUAGCGCACGAGUAGAGUGAUCGAAAGAUGAAAAGCACUUUGGAAAGAGAGUUAAAAAGCACGUGAAAUUGUUAAAAGGGAAGGGAUUGCAACCAGACUUGCUCGCGGUGUUCCGCCGGUCUUCUGACCGGUCUACUCGCCGCGUUGCAGGCCAGCAUCGUCUGGUGCCGCUGGAUAAGACUUGAGGAAUGUAGCUCCCUCGGGAGUGUUAUAGCCUCUUGUGAUGCAGCGAGCGCCGGGCGAGGUCCGCGCUUCGGCUAGGAUGCUGGCGUAAUGGUCGUAAUCCGCCCGUCUUGAAACACGGACCAAGGAGUCUAACAUCUAUGCGAGUGUUCGGGUGUCAAACCCCUACGCGUAAUGAAAGUGAACGGAGGUGAGAACCGCAAGGUGCAUCAUCGACCGAUCCUGAUGUCUUCGGAUGGAUUUGAGUAAGAGCAUAGCUGUUGGGACCCGAAAGAUGGUGAACUAUGCCUGAAUAGGGUGAAGCCAGAGGAAACUCUGGUGGAGGCUCGCAGCGGUUCUGACGUGCAAAUCGAUCGUCAAAUUUGGGUGUAGGGGCGAAAGACUAAUCGAACCAUCUAGUAGCUGGUUCCUGCCGAAGUUUCCCU
rnacentral:rRNA from 1 species